rnacentral:rRNA from 1 species
AGAGUUUGAUCAUGGCUCAGAGCGAACGCUGGCGGCGUACUUAACACAUGCAAGUCGAACGAGGAUCUUCGGUGUAGCAAUACAUUGGCGGUCCUAGUGGCGCACGGGUGAGUAACACGUGGGUGACCUGCCCUAGAGCUCGGGAUACCCCCUCGAAAGGGGGGCUAAUACCGGAUACGUUCCUUGGUCGAAAGAUCGAGGAGGAAAGGUGGCGCAAGCUGCCGCUCUUGGAGGGGCUCGCGGCCUAUCAGCUAGUUGGCGGGGUAACGGCCCACCAAGGCUAUGACGGGUAGCUGGUCUGAGAGGACGACCAGCCACACGGGGACUGAGACACGGCCCCGACUCCUACGGGAGGCAGCAGUGGGGAAUUUUCCGCAAUGGGCGAAAGCCUGACGGAGUGACGCCGCGUGUGGGACGAAGGCCUUCGGGUCGUAAACCACUGUCAGUGGGAAAGAUGGGUGUCGGGGCUAAUACCUCCGGCAUCUGACGGUACCUGCAGAGGAAGCCCCGGCCAACUCUGUGCCAGCAGCCGCGGUAAGACAGAGGGGGCAAGCGUUGCUCGGAAUUACUGGGCGUAAAGGGCGCGUAGGCGGGAUGGCAAGUCGGUCGUGAAAUCCCUCGGCUCAACCGAGGAACGUCGAUCGAUACUGCUGUUCUUGAGGAUUGCAGAGGAGACUGGAAUUCCCGGUGUAGCGGUGAAAUGUGUAGAGAUCGGGAGGAACACCGGUGGCGAAGGCGGGUCUCUGGGCAAUUCCUGACGCUGAGGCGCGAAAGCGUGGGGAGCAAACGGGAUUAGAUACCCCCGUAGUCC